CGGAGGGUGCAAGCGUUAUCCGGAUUCACUGGGUUUAAAGGGUGUGUAGGCGGGCUUUUAAGUCAGUGGUGAAAUCUCCAGGCUCAACCUGGAAACUGCCAUUGAUACUAUAGGUCUUGAAUUUUGUUGAGGUAGGCGGAAUAUAUCAUGUAGCGGUGAAAUGCUUAGAUAUGAUAUAGAACACCGAUUGCGAAGGCAGCUUACUAAGCAAAUAUUGACGCUGAGGCACGAAAGCGUGGGGAUCAAACAGGAUUAGAUACCCUGGUAGUCCACGCCCUAAACGAUGAUUACUCGACAUACGUGAUACACUAUGUGUGUCUGAGCGAAAGCAUUAAGUAAUCCACCUGGGAAGUACGUCCGCAAGGAUG
rnacentral:rRNA from 1 species